AAUACACUAGAUUGUCAGUCGCUCUGAAUAAGAGCGUCUGCUAAAUGACUCAAA
rfam:Salmo salar isolate Sally breed double haploid chromosome ssa06, whole genome shotgun sequence.